rnacentral:rRNA from 1 species
UACGUAGGGUGCAAGCGUUGUCCGGAAUUAUUGGGCGUAAAGAGCUCGUAGGCGGUUUGUCGCGUCUGCUGUGAAAACGCGAGGCUCAACCUCGCGCCUGCAGUGGGUACGGGCAGACUGGAGUGCGGUAGGGGAGAUUGGAAUUCCUGGUGUAGCGGUGGAAUGCGCAGAUAUCAGGAGGAACACCGAUGGCGAAGGCAGAUCUCUGG